ACUCUAGCGAGACUGCCGGUAAUAAACCGGAGGAAGUGGGGAUGACGUCAAAUCAUCAUGCCCCUUAUGACCUGGGCUACACACGUGCUACAAUGGUUGGUACAACGAGUUGCGAGUCGGUGACGGCGAGCUAAUCUCUUAAAGCCAAUCUCAGUUCGGAUCGUAGGCUGCAACUCGCCUACAUGAAGUCGGAAUCGCUAGUAAUCGCGGAUCAGCACGCCGCGGUCGAAUACGUUCCCGGGCCUU
rnacentral:rRNA from 1 species